GGUCCCUUAGCUCAGAUGGUUAGAGCAGCAUCCUCAUAAGAUAUUGGUCACUGGUUCGAGUCCAGUAGGGAUCACCA
rnacentral:tRNA from 1 species